AGUGAACGCUGGCGGUAGGCCUAACACAUGCAAGUCGAACGGCAGCACAGUAAGAGCUUGCUCUUACGGGUGGCGAGUGGCGGACGGGUGAGGAAUACAUCGGAAUCUACUUUUUCGUGGGGGAUAACGUAGGGAAACUUACGCUAAUACCGCAUACGACCUACGGGUGAAAGCAGGGGAUCUUCGGACCUUGCGCGAUUGAAUGAGCCGAUGUCGGAUUAGCUAGUUGGCGGGGUAAAGGCCCACCACGGCGACGAUCCGUAGCUGGUCUGAGAGGAUGAUCAGCCACACUGGAACUGAGACACGGUCCAGACUCCUACGGGAGGCAGCAGUGGGGAAUAUUGGACAAAGGGCGCAAGCCUGAUCCAGCCAUACCGCGUGGGUGAAGAAGGCCUUCGGGUUGUAAAGCCCUUUUGUUGGGAAAGAAAAGCAGCAGGUUAAUACCCCGCUGUUCUGACGGUACCCAAAGAAUAAGCACCGGCUAACUUCGUG
rnacentral:rRNA from 1 species